rnacentral:tRNA from 1 species
GGGCCUGUAGCUCAAUGGUUAGAGCGCCAAGCUUAUACCUUGGUGGUUCCUGGUUCGAAUCCAGGCGGGCCCA